CAAAAAUUAGCUUCAAUAAAUAAUAAGUACAAGUGUUGGCUUUAAUAAAAGUAAUCUUCAUUUUUACUGCAAUAACCGAACUGUCAAAAGAAAUACGUUUAGAACAUAGGCGUAGAGGACAAAUUUCGCCUGAACUCAGACCCACUCGCAUUACCAUAAUUCCAAAUUCCGAAAAAUCUUCGCCGUCGUUGUGGUCCGGACAUGAAAAAAUUAUGAUAGAUAUUGCUGCAACUUCAGCAUGAUAUCGCCUGCGUCCUCGGUUUCCUCGGAGAGAGUGCCAUCUGCUGUGAAUCUCGCAGUACCCAAUAACAGAAGCCGGCUUACAGCCGAGCACGUAAUUCAAAGAGUUUUUCUUAUGUCUGUAUCAGAUAAAUAUUGGUUUGAUUAAUAAAUAAUUAAUGUUUUAAUUGUUGUUAUUGAUUUAUUAAAAAUUAUGUCUAUUGGUUAGUAUUUAUCAAGUAAGGUAAGAUGAUUAAAGUAAAUUAGGCCAAAUAUUUUUUUUCAUUUCAUAUCAUUUUUUCAUAUAUCGAUAUUUUUAAAUAAAAAUAUCAAUGUCGAUAUUGAUAUAUUCAAAAAUUACCGAUACAAUAUAUAUCGAUACUUUAUUCCAUUUCCGACAUCCCUACCACACCAUACUAGAGAUGAACGAUAUUGCGAUUUUUCGAUAUCUGUGAUUUCAGUGAUUGCUAUUUUUAAAUCACUGUGAUUUUAUAUUGCUUACAUUCCCUGCAAGGCGCAGGUAACAGAUUGCACAAACACAUUGAAACAUUUUCAGCUGUUCACUAACACUGUUACAUUUUCUGGAAUUUUCAAUGGAAUGGGAGAAUACGUAAAAUAGGAGAGGCGAAUACCCAAUAUUUCAAGAAGAAUAAACGAAAAGCGCAGUUUAUUUUGGAUUUUAAAGAGAGAAAACGAAAGAGGUUAACAAGGAGAAAAAGAAAUCAUUUGGACCAUUGGUAAAAUUCAAAUCUAUUGCGUGCAGCAACCAAAUAAUGGAGUAUGUUUUAAAUUAUUAAAGUUAAAUAGUGUAUAUUUAAUUCAAAUAUUUGUUAUAGAUUGUGCAUUUUA